AUUAGAGGAGUGGCAUGUAGUCUAAAACCCAGUCCAUUCUUAAACCCUAAAUUACAUGAAGAAGAAGAAGAAGAGGAGUCUGAGUCUGCCCAAAUCAAAUUCAGAAAUCCUCCACCUUUCUCUUUGAUUCCCUUUGUCUUUCUCACUCCUUUUCCACCUAUCUUAUUGCUGCCUUAUAUUUCUUCCAUUUUCUAUUCUUUUUUGUAAAAUUAUUUCCAUGAUGUUUAAAUUGCGGUUGGACUUUUUGGGCACUAAUCUUUUUCAUCAGACAGAGAAUCUGAAGCAUUCACAAACAAGAAGAAGCUUAAUGGGAGUAGUCUCUAUGCAUCGGAGCCCUCCUCACAGGCUUGCACGUGAAGAAGUUGCCUAUUGCUUGAUCCCCUUUGUUGUUCGGCUGUCAUAUCAAAAGUGUGAAAAUAGAUCAAUUCUAGGUUUGCUUGUGACGGAUGGUUGGUUAAGAAGGAGCUACUGCAACCAAAAUAUUUCAGAACCAGAUUCUGGGAAGCUUUAUACUGAUUUUCAGUCUGCUGACACUUAUCCUUUUCUUAAAUCGAAAUGUCUUCAGCACUGGUUCAAGAAUUGGCAAGAACGCAGAAAGCAUAGACUUACAGCAAGCACUUUUGCUGCAGCUGUUGGAUUUCGGCAUGGCAGAAGAGUCCAGCUCUGGUUGGAGAAGAUUGGGGCAAUUGAGACAUUUUCUGGUAACAUACCUACCUUUUGGAGCAAUGUAAAAGAAGAAGAAGCACUUGAAAGAUACAAGCUGAUAACUGGAAAUACUGUUAUGUUUCCGGAGUUUCAGGUCUAUGGUAAUGCUAAUAAGGACCCUGUAGAUAGUUGGCUUGGAGCUUCACCAGAUGGGAUAGUUUAUGGAUUCCCUGUAGACAAGGAUGUUUAUGUAUUGCCUGCAGGAGGAGUGCUGGAGAUUAAGUGUCCAUUCUUCAGAGGAGAUAUGGCUAAUGCUAAUCCUUGGUUGCGGAUCCCUAUCUACUAUGUUCCACAGGCGCAGGGUUUGAUGGAAAUAUUGGACAGGGAUUGGAUGGAUUUCUAUGUUUGGACUCCUAAAGGAAGCAGCUUAUUUCGGAUGUAUCGAGAUGAAAAAUACUGGAAUGUACUGAAAAUGGCACUCUCUGAUUUCUGGUGGAAGCAUGUCCAGCCUGCAAAGAAGUUGUGCAGUAAAUCAGUGAUCAUGAAUCCCCUUACUGAAUUACAUUCACUUAGGCCAGCAGCUAGACAUGAGUUAUGCAGUUACAUUGUUUAUGAUAGCAAACGCAUUGUUGACAGCUCCAAGUUGUUGAUGCGAGAAAUUGAUGGAAAGCUGCAAAUAUGAUCUAUGUGGAUGUCUCCAAUUGAUAUUUAGUUUAGCCUAUUCGGAUUUAUGUGGCUUACAUUGAUAUGAUAUAUAUCCUCUGCGCUCAGCAGCAGAGAUAUGGCUUUCUGAGCUGUUGGGUGAAACUUUGACCUUAAUACCACACAAAAUAAAUAGCUGGAGUUGGAGCACAGAGAUUAUAAUAUUGUUCAACGAGUGAUGUACAGAGAAAUACAGUUGAUGAAUGCAAACUCCAUGAGGAUGAACAACUACCCAUCUAUUUCAGUUUUGGAGUAUAUGAAAGGAUUUCCUCCAGAAGGAGAAGGGAGUCGCAGUUGAAAUCAAAUUUUACCCUUGAAGUAUUGACCACAUUCAGCAUACUGGAUUCUCUGGACAGGCCUUCGUUGGUGAGCAUCAAGCUUUUGUUUUCAAGAAUAUGUGCAUGCACACUGUUCACCUUUCAGUUUGGUGAAGCACCUAUCAUAUUUCUUGUUAAAAAAAGCAAUGUUUAUCUUCAUCCCUCAUAAUGGGAAACCAUGUGAAUCUGGGGGCAGAUUUGAAACCAUUACUGAUUGCAUAUACCUUGACCCCUUUCUUAAUCAUUUUUCUUAUCAAACUCAGUUUACUGCCUUUAGACUAUGAAAUUACUGCAAACAAAGUCACUGCUUUUAUAUCUUUCCAAAAUUCUCUAUGAGAAAUCGUCCUUUGAGCUUUGUUGUUUUCUCUAUUCUUUAUCACAAUGUCUUCUCAUAGAGGUCAACACCAACACCAACAAAGGCAGUGGGGUUGGAUUGUCUCGCCAAGAAGCUCUACACCCCUCCUUGGGUGACCCAUCUCAACCCCAUUCCUUCUAACUACUCUUUUACCCAUGUAAUCAAUUUCUGUUCUUUCCCCUGUUAUCUAUUUCAUCUGGCUUUUUCUUCUUUUCUUCUCUUAUGUUGAAACUUGUGAGUAUAUUAAUUGGUUAUUACAGUUUGUAUUGAUUACUAUAUGCUUUCUAGCUUUUCUUAUCAGCUUCCAACUCCAAUUCAUAAAUGGAAUCUACCUAAUCUGCCGAACAGCACUCAAGUCUAGUUGAUGCUUGAGGGGAUUCUUGGCAGACAAUUUACUUUCCCACUUCUUCUAUCAAAUUGUGUAUUGCACUUUGCCAUUGAUGUUCUGUUCUACCACAUAGGAAGGUGCCCAAUACUUCAAGAGCUAAAGGAAGGCCACAAGCAUGUUAAACAAUAUGAUCUGAAAGCAUAAGAUAAUCUUCUGCUGGUAUCUCCCUCUUAAAAGCAUUCCAACUAAAGAGUUGAACCGCUCUCAAAUGAUCCAAUACCCCUGCCUAUAUCACAUUAGCUCCAUGAGUGGUUAGCAAAGUGUUUAUUUCUACCAGUUAUGAUGAUUCUACUUACUAAGCCAAACCACUCAUGCCUUCCUACUGAUGUCUCCAGCUGAUCUAGUUCAUCAACAUCAUCAAGAACUACAAGUACUCUCCUUGUAUCGUAGUCUUACCGUUAUGGUAUUGACACCUCUAUGAAUAUUGCCAACUUUCAAAAUGUUAUUCCCAAUCAUGUCAAAAAGCGUCUUGUAGUUGAACAAAACUAACAUGCUGCAAGGAAGUUGGAACCUUCAAAUUCUUCAGCAAAUUUAUUGAAUAAAGCUUUGCCAAUUAUUGUCU